rnacentral:lncRNA from 10 species
UUUCUGGGUAAGAGCACACUUAAAUCAUUAGGUGGGGAAACAAAGCUUGCUAGGUUUGGUGUUUUCAGGCAAUAAAUGAUAUCAUCAAUUAUAAUUUGUAUACCCUUUUUUUAAGCAGAAACAAAACCCAAGUCAAAUGGCAUUUAUGGCACAAUUGACAUUUUACUUAUGGGAAGAUAACUCAACAUUAAAGGUAUAGUUCGCUGAACAGUGAUUACAAGGCUUAUUGUAUUAAUGAGAACUAAAAAGUUCGACUACAUAUUCAAAGGAUCCCCAUGGCCUUUUAUAUUGCCCAUCACAAAAUCCUUUUCAAGCAAUUUAAAUUGUAUCAUGAUUGGCUAUUGGUAUUUGAGAAAUGGCAUUAAACUCAGGCAAAUAGUGAAAUUCCACUGUAUAGAAUGGUAUCUGUAAAAUAAAAUAUAAAUGCAAAACUGAAAAAAUAGGAGAUAAAAUCACAUGAUUUUUACAAUGACAGUAUGUUGUUUAAAAUGCAGAAAAAAAUAUGCAUGAGUAGUUCCAAAUCUUUAUUUUAUUCUAGGUGUUUUAUGUCUUCUUAGACUGUUAGAUCUAAAAAACUCCCUUUUCAAUCCUACUAUGUAUAAUGAGACUAAAUCAUAAACUAUGUUUAAUGCAUUUUAAAUUCAUAUGCAACUUGUCAGCACCUCCAUUUAAAAAUGAUUUUACUUUUCAUAAUUUUAUGACCACUUGGCUAUAAUAUAAAAUGCUAAAUAUAUCAGUGUAUGAAAACAAAUUGAACUUGUAGACUGUGGACUCCUGUACAUUACUCAAGAUUUAGGUGAAACGCAUGUAAAGCUUUUUCUGGCCUUGACUAGAAAGAAGAGGAGAGCCAAAAAACAAAGAGGAGAGUCAGUCUCUUCUUCUUUGUUUUUUCAUUUCUGUACUAAAAUUUACUAUAGUACUUUUCAUUUAUUUUAUUUUUAUUUUUUAAUUUCUUUUUGAGACACAAUUUUGGUCUGUCGCCCAGGUUAGAGUAUAGUGUUGUGAUCACGGCUCACUGCAGCCUUGACCUCCCAGCCACGUGAUCCUCCCACCUUAGCCUCCCAAGUAGCUAGGACUACAGGCAUGCCACCACACCCUGCUAAUUAAUUUUUAUUUUUGUAGAGAUGGGAUCUUACUAUGUUGCCCAGGCUGAUCUUGAACUCCUGGGCUCAAGUGAUCCUCUUACCUUGGCCCCUAAAGUGCUGGGAUUACAUGUGUGGGACACUUUGCCUGGCCUACUAUAGUACUUUUUAAAGUGUUUUGAAAUUACUGUAUAUGUGCCUUCUUCCCUGUAAGAAUGAAUGACCCUGUUGACAUCAUAAAUGAGGUCUUAUUCUUCUCUUUAGAUCCAGCAAUUCAAUGAUGGCAUCAAAGACUGGUUCUUUCACCUUUUGCUCUGCCAUCCACCCUUAUAUCAUCCUGAGGUUGGUUCUUGUAGUCAUAGGAUCAUUGCCCAUUUCCUAUAGCAUUUAAGCUGUAUUUAUUCUCACUUAAGCCUUCUGGGAGAGAAAGAGAGUGUUUUUCUACAAUCAUGGAACAAUAGUACUUCUGUUCAGUCUGAUGUACAAUUGACCCUUGAACAACACAGGUUCGAACUGCUUGAAUUCAUUUAUACUUGAAUUUCCUCCCCAGUCUGCCACCUCUGAGACAGCAAGACAGAUCCCUUCCCUUUCUAUUUUCCCAUCAGCCUACUCAACAUGAAGAUGAUGAGGACGAAGAGCUUUAUGAUGAUCCACUUACACUUAAUGUGUAGUAGAUGUAUUUUUUCUUCUCUAUGAUUUUUAAAAAUAACAGUUUCUUAGUAUUAUUGGCAAGGCUUCUGGUCAGCAGUAGACUGUUAGCAGUUAUGUUUUUGGGAAGACAAAAGUACUAUGCAGAUUUCUGUCUGUGUGUAGGGUUGAUGCUUCUAACUUCCAUGUUGUUUCAGGGUCAACUGUAAUAGUUUAGGUCCAACUCUGGACCAGUAACUGUCACCAGGAGAAUGUCCUGUGCUGAUUGGCCUAGGUCACAGUUCCUUAAUCAAUCUUGGGCAAGGGAGACAUAUUGUAUUUGCUUAGACUCAUCAGGGCCCUUCUCUGCAGAUGGAAUCAGUUCCUCAAGCUGCAAUGAAACUUUAUUGAAAAGGUGGUGAAAUAGAUGUUGGCCCUCACCUGUAAUGUCUACUACGUAGAAUUUUAGUAUGCAGUAUUUCUCAGGCUUAUUGGGUUGAGCAUGAACAUUUAUAGAAAUUCUUCAAAGGAGCUUUUUGUUCUUAGGGUAGAUAGCUUAGGAAAUGCUGACCUGUAAGAUUAAGUUAAAAUUCCUUAUUAUAGCAUAAAAAGCAUUUUUGAUAUGGCCCUGAGUCUAGCUACUAGUUCUGUAGUCACUUCAAAGUCAUGCUCUAGCAAUAGCACAUUUAUUGCCUUUCCUAUAUCUCUCCAUGUUUCCUACUAUUUCAAGGCCUUUAUUAUUUGUUUUCUUGGUUGGCAAGUCUUUUCCACUCUGAUUACCUUUUCAUCUUUCAAAGUCAAUCAAACAUCCAUCUCCUAAGAAGCCGUUCCUUCUAUAUACUAUUUCAGCAUCAUGUACGUAAUUCUUUUAUUGCUUCCCAUAUAAAAUUACAAUUAUAUAUUACAAGGCUUCUAAAUUUUGAGUGACUGGAAGGGGGGGAGCACCUAUGUCUUAUUCAUCUUUCCAGCCCCAGAAUUUGGCAGAAGAUUAUUGUUAAAUGUCUGCUCCAUUGAAUGGUGCCUUUAGUAUGUUUUUGAAAAUAUUAGAUCAGUACUACAUUUUUAUACUUUUAUUCAUGCCCAGAAGUAUUAAAUGUUUUAGUAAUUAACUGCAAAAUCUUUAUCUUGUGGCUUGAAUAGUAGUUCCUAAAUCAACCUCAGAAUCUGAGCUGUACAAUUUUUCAAAUUUAUUUUUUCUGCCUAAUUCAUGCUGCCUAAUUUCCAAGCUCAAAAUCAUAAAUUAGAUGUAGACUUUCUGAUCAGGUAGUAUUUGCAAAAGUUUAGCUAAAAUAGGCAAAAUUGAGAAUGAAUUUUUAUAAGAAAUGUCUGCACAGUUGAAGUAUCAUUAUUAUUAUUAUUUUGGUAGGAUAGGGGUCCCACUAUUUUGCCCAGGCUGAUUUUGGACUCCUGGGCUCAAGUGAUCCUCCCGCCUUGGCCUCAAAAAGAGCUGGGAUUACAGGCAUAAUUCACUGUGCUCAGCCCAGAUUACAGCUUUAAAUCCUUCUUGGGAUCACACAUCCAAGAGUCCUGAACAUAUUUUCAUAGAAAACAGUCCACGGUCCUAGAGCCUGUAUUGUAAUACAGUGUAAGGUGAGACAAUGUCAAGGCAUGAUUUCAAAAUGUAAGUUUUGAACUUUUAUUCUUAAAGUGCACAAAUAUCUGUUUCUUUAGAUUAUAAAAGUUCAAAAGUACAUUCAGGAGCUACUUAAAAUAUUCAUGCUAACUUGCAAAUAUAGGAGAAUCUGCAGGUCACUGUUUUUUUUUCUUGUUUUUAGUUUUUUAUUUAAUUUUAAAUAGAGAUGAGGUC